UACGUAGGGAGCUAGCGUUGUCCGGAAUCAUUGGGCGUAAAGCGCGCGUAGGCGGCCCGGUAAGUCCGCUGUGAAAGUCAAAGGCUCAACCUUUGAAUGUCAGCGGAUACUGCCGGGCUAGAGUCCGGAAGAGGCGAGUGGAACUCCUGGUGUAGCGGUGGAAUGCGCAGAUAUCAGGAGGAACACCGGUGGCGAAGGCGGUGGUCUGGGCCGGCACUGACGCUGAGGAGCGAAAGCGUGGGGAGCAAACAGG
rnacentral:rRNA from 1 species